GUGGCAAAGGGGAGCGCUCGGAAUGCAAUUUUUAUUGCGAUUGUUUGUUUGUAUCUGAAUGUUUGUAAAUAGGGUGGUGUCUGCAUUUGUCUACAGGCUGCCCUUCAACACCAACAAAGACUGGUUAAUACUCCUAUCCAUGCAGUGAUCAAUAUAGUCAGUGAAACAGCUCAUGAUGGUGCAAGUUUAAGGAAUGAAAGAAUGAUAAUGUGAUGACAAAACUAAUAUAUACAUUAUUAUAAACAGGACACAAUGACUGCAGAAAUUCUAAUGCAACUUUAAAAAUACGAUGAGACUAUGUAAAACUAAACAAUAAAAUUUGCCAGUUGUUUCUACCACUGUUUGACAAAUAAGCUCAGAGUUAGGUGAUAUUUUGGAAAAUAAAUCUUUGUACUUACUCAAGAAUCGUUUUUCCUCUACGACCCACUCUGGGUCAUCUUCUUCAAAAUCUGGAGACUCUUCCGAGUAAAAA